GACGAACGCUUGCGGCGUGCCUGAGAAAUGCAAGUCGAACGAAUCUAAAGGAGCAAUCCUUUGGGUUAGUGGCGAACGGUCGAGUAACACGUAAGCAACCUGCCCGGGAGCGGGGGAUAAUCCACCGAAAGGUGGGGUAAUACCGCAUACCUUUGGGGGAGACAUCUCCCUUAAAGAAAGGUUUAUCCACUCCCGGAGGGGCUUGCGGCCUAUCAGCUAGUUGGUCGGGGUAACGGCCCACCAAGGCGACGAUGGGUAGCNGGUCUGAGAGGACGGCCGAGCCGGACUGGGACUGAGACACGGCCCAGACUCCGUACGGGGGCAGCAAUCAGGAAUCUUGCGCAA
rnacentral:rRNA from 1 species